rnacentral:rRNA from 1 species
CUGUCGGAGGAUCAUUG